GAUGAACGCUGGCGGCGUGCCUAAUACAUGCAAGUCGAGCGAACAGACGAGGAGCUCGCUCCUCUUACGUUAGCGGCGGACGGGUGAGUAACACGUAGAUAACCUACCUAUAAGACUGGGAUAAAUUAGGGACACCGGAGAUAAUACCGGAUAAUAUAUUGAACCGCAUGGUUCAAUCGUGAAGGACGGUUUUGCUGUCACUUAUAGAUGGAUCCGCGCCGCAUUAGCUAGUUGGUAAGGUACCGGCUUGCCAAGGCAACGAUGCGUAGCCGACCUGAGAGGUGGAUCGCCCACACGGGAACUGAGACACGGCCAAGACGCCUACGGGAGGAAGCGGUAGGGAAUCUUCGGCAAUGGGCGAAAGCCUGACGGAGCAAGCCCGCGUGAGGGAGGAAGGUCUUCGGAUGGUAAAACUCGGUUAUUGGGGAGGAACGAAAGUGUGAGAAAAUCUGCACGUCUUGACGGUACCUAAACAGAAAGCCACGGCUAACUACGUG
rnacentral:rRNA from 1 species